rnacentral:rRNA from 1 species
UACGUAGGGUGCGAGCGUUAAUCGGAAUUACUGGGCGUAAAGCGUGCGCAGGCGGUCUGUUAAGACCGAUGUGAAAUCCCCCGGGCUUAACCUGGGAACUGCAUUGGUGACUGCAAGGCUAGAGUUUGGCAGAGGGGGUAGAAUUCCACGUGUAGCAGUGAAAUGCGUAGAUAUGUGGAGGAACACCGAUGGCGAAGGCAGCCCCUGGGUCAAAAACUGACGCUCAUGCACGAAAGCGUGGGGAGCAAACAGG